GAUGAACGCUGGCGGCGUGCCUAAUACAUGCAAGUCGAGCGAACAGACGAGGAGCUUGCUCCUCUGACGUUAGCGGCGGACGGGUGAGUAACACGUGGAUAACCUACCUAUAAGACUGGGAUAACUUCGGGAAACCGGAGCUAAUACCGGAUAAUAUAUUGAACCGCAUGGUUCAAUAGUGAAAGACGGUUUUGCUGUCACUUAUAGAUGGAUCCGCGCCGCAUUAGCUAGUUGGUAAGGUAACGGCUUACCAAGGCAACGAUGCGUAGCCGAGCUGAGAGGGUGAUCGGCCACCCUGGAACUGAGCCACGGUCCAGACUCCUACGGGAGGCAGCAGUAGGGAAUCUUCCGCAAUGGGCGAAAGCCUGACGGAGCAACGCCGCGUGAGUGAUGAAGGUCUUCGGAUCGUAAAACUCUGUUAUUAGGGAAGAACAAAUGUGUAAGUAACUAUGCACGUCUUGACGGUACCUAACCAGAAAGCCACGGCUAACUACGUG
rnacentral:rRNA from 1 species